rnacentral:lncRNA from 1 species
GAAGCGCGACCCCGUGGCACCGCGCAUCUGCGUGUCGUCACUGCUGCAAUCCGAGCGACCCACUACGCCAAGCCGCCGUCCUCCUGCCCAAGCUUCCCACUCGAGCGCCCCGACGCCAGCAGAUCUUAUCCGGUCGCGACGGCGCGACCGCCCUGCAGCAGCCGAGCUCCCGUCGCCGUCCGAGCCGCCACCGCCCUCCGUCCCAACGAGCUGCUUGCUGACCGUCGCUGAACCGCCGCCUUCUUGCUGCU